GCUGCAGGUUGUUGGGCAGAUGUCUGUAAGCACUGUAAGUAAUGAGAAGGCUCCUGCAGUGCCUUGAGUCAGCAAGGAGAAGAUGAUGCUCUCUAGUUAAAAGAUGCUAGGAGAGGAGGAAGCUGGACCUCCAGGGAGGAGUGGCUGUGCCCAGCUUGGGACUUGGGUGAAGACUUUGACACUUUCCCACACCACUUCCCAGUGAGUUCAGCUGGCACCAUUGCAGUGAAGAGGCUAGUGGUGUAUGGGCCAGGGCAGCUUCCGGACACCAGAUGCAACUGUGCUCUUUGUGCCUUUGUUACCGUCAGAAGUGAGAGAUCCACUAAAAUCACCACUGUCUAUGGAAAAUAGUGCCAAUUUUCAGUGCCAUGGCUCUCUAUUUGUACCCAUGGAACUAGGGAUCAAAACAUUGUUUCAUGCAACUGAAAAUGUUAAUUCCUUCUCCUUCCCUGUCCCCAACCUCCAACUAGGCCAUGCUCACCGUGACUGAGACUGGAGCUGUGCCAAGGCACUCCAUAGCUGAAGUGUCAAUAACCAUGUCUUGUUUAAAACAUUUGGGGAGCAAGGGAAGGGAGUUCUGGAACUUAACAUUUGCUUUCUGAUGGGACUAAAAUAUGAUACCUCUGUGUGCGUUAUCUGUAGCCGCUGCCACUGCCGUCUUGAGCGGUUCUAUCCCCUGCCACACCUGUAGAACAGCUGACCAGGAGGAGAAGUUCAGUCAGAUACUGCAAGUCAGUGCUGCACCAGACUGUCAACAGACUCCCUGGAUGGUAAAUAUUACAGGCGGUAUCUAGAGGGAAAGGUGCAUGAGUUACAGAAGGAGAUGCACCAGGGUAUAAUGGGGCUUCUCCAAUAGCAAACAUAAAUGCUACAAACUCCUGUUGACCUACAGGUUCAACAGUCAUGGGCUUGCCUCUCACUACAGCUAAUGGAGAACUACACUUCAGCACCUCCUUACACACCCGCAACAUUCCAUGUGUCGUCAGGGUCUCAUCCCUACCCCUUCCAGUCCUUCCUAUCCCCAGCUGUGGACAACCACAGCUUCACAAACUAACUAUGCCUCUCGCGGGUCAGUGUCUAUGUGUAGCAAAAAUGGACUAUAUUAGUGCACUGAAAUGCUGCUUUUCUAAAUUUAAAGUUCCAUUUGGUUAACUUAUGUCUGAAAUUUGCAUUGCCCUUUUUUAUUUGCACAUUUUUUCACCCCUUUUGUCAGUCAAUAAACUUUUCUUUAAAAAUAAAUAAAUGUUAAUUUGUUCAUACCUACUGCAGUACUCAAAGCAGCCAGUAGUUGUAUGUGUACAUCAACACAGACAGGACUUGUAGGGUCAAGAAAACAACCAGGCAUAUGUGUAAAUGUACUGCAAGCACCACAUAAUUCAUAGUUUCAGUAAAAGAAAAUGUAAUAGUUUAUAAAUGUACAGCAAAACACAAUCGCUGAUAGGUUCAUUGUAAGACACUAUAUUAUAUGUACACUAAAGCACUACACAAUUCCUAACUGCCCAAAAACUUUCAGGGCCAGGGUGCAGUCAAGCAUAGCAUGUUAAUAUGGCUGACCAUUAAAGUGCUCUUUCAAAGCAUCCCACAACC